AGAGUUUGAUCCUGGCUCAGGAUGAACGCUGGCGGUAUGCUUAACACAUGCAAGUCGAACGGAAUCUUCGGAUUUAGUGGCGGACGGGUGAGUAACGCGUGAGAAUCUAGCUCUAGGUCGGGGACAACCACUGGAAACGGUGGCUAAUACCGGAUGUGCCGAAAGGUGAAAGAUUUAUUGCCUAGAGAUGAGCUCGCGUCUGAUUAGCUAGUUGGUGUGGUAAGAGCGCACCAAGGCGACGAUCAGUAGCUGGUCUGAGAGGAUGAUCAGCCACACUGGGACUGAGACACGGCCCAGACUCCUACAGGAGGCAGCAGUGGGGAAUUUUCCGCAAUGGGCGAAAGCCUGACGGAGCAAUACCGCGUGAGGGAGGAAGGCUCUUGGGUUGUAAACCUCUUUUCUCAGGGAAUAAGAAAGUGAAGGUACCUGAGGAAUAAGCAUCGGCUAACUCCGUGCCAGCAGCCGCGGUAAUACGGAGGAUGCAAGCGUUAUCCGGAAUGAUUGGGCGUAAAGCGUCCGCAGGUGGCACUGUAAGUCUGCUGUUAAAGAGCAAGGCUCAACCUUGUAAAGGCAGUGGAAACUACAGAGCUAGAGUACGUUCGGGGCAGAGGGAAUUCCUGGUGUAGCGGUGAAAUGCGUAGAGAUCAGGAAGAACACCGGUGGCGAAAGCGCUCUGCUAGGCCGUAACUGACACUGAGGGACGAAAGCUAGGGGAGCGAAUGGGAUUAGAUACCCCAGUAGUCCUAGCCGUAAACGAUGGAUACUAGGCGUGGCUUGUAUCGACCCGAGCCGUGCCGGAGCCANCGCGUUAAGUAUCCCGCCUGGGGAGUACGCACGCAAGUGUGAAACUCAAAGGAAUUGACGGGGGCCCGCACAAGCGGUGGAGUAUGUGGUUUAAUUCGAUGCAACGCGAAGAACCUUACCAAGACUUGACAUGUCGCGAAUCUUCUUGAAAGGGAAGAGUGCCUUAGGGAGCGCGAACACAGGUGGUGCAUGGCUGUCGUCAGCUCGUGUCGUGAGAUGUUGGGUUAAGUCCCGCAACGAGCGCAACCCUCGUUUUUAGUUGCCAGCAUUAAGUUGGGCACUCUAGAGAGACUGCCGGUGACAAACCGGAGGAAGGUGGGGAUGACGUCAAGUCAGCAUGCCCCUUACGUCUUGGGCUACACACGUACUACAAUGCUACGGACAGAGGGCAGCAAGCUAGCGAUAGCAAGCAAAUCCCGUAAACCGUAGCUCAGUUCAGAUCGCAGGCUGCAACUCGCCUGCGUGAAGGAGGAAUCGCUAGUAAUUGCAGGUCAGCAUACUGCAGUGAAUUCGUUCCCGGGCCUUGUACACACCGCCCGUCACACCAUGGAAGCUGGCAACGCCCGAAGUCAUUACUCCAACCAUUCGUGGGGGAGGAUGCCUAAGGCAGUGCUGGUGACUGGGGUGAAGUCGUAACAAGGUAACC
rnacentral:rRNA from 1 species